GACAGAGGGUGCAAACGUUGUUCGGAAUUACUGGGCGUAAAGCGCGUGUAGGCGGCUUGAUAAGUCAGACGUGAAAUCCCUCGGCUCAACCGAGGAACUGCGUCUGAUACUGUCAGGCUAGAGUGUCGGAGGGGAUGGCGGAAUUCCUGGUGUAGAGGUGAAAUUCGUAGAUAUCAGGAGGAACAUCCGUGGCGAAGGCGGCCAUCUGGAAGACAACUGACGCUGAGACGCGAAAGCGUGGGUAGCAAACAGG
rnacentral:rRNA from 1 species